GGGUUGUGAGGUUAAGCGACUAAGCGUACACGGUGGAUGCCCUGGCAGUCAGAGGCGAUGAAGGGCGUGCUAAUCUGCGAUAAGCGCCGGUAAGGUGAUAUGAACCGUUAUAACCGGCGAUACCCGAAUGGGGAAACCCAGUGUGAUUCGUCACACUAUCAUUAACUGAAUCCAUAGGUUAAUGAGGCGAACCGGGGGAACUGAAACAUCUAAGUACCCCGAGGAAAAGAAAUCAACCGAGAUUCCCCCAGUAGCGGCGAGCGAACGGGGAGGAGCCCAGAGCCUGAAUCAGCAUGUGUGUUAGUGGAAGCGUCUGGAAAGGCGCGCGAUACAGGGUGACAGCCCCGUACACAAAAGCGCAUGUGCUGUGAGCUCGAUGAGUAGGGCGGGACACGUGGUAUCCUGUCUGAAUAUGGGGGGACCAUCCUCCAAGGCUAAAUACUCCUGACUGACCGAUAGUGAACCAGUACCGUGAGGGAAAGGCGAAAAGAACCCCGGCGAGGGGAGUGAAAAAGAACCUGAAACCGUGUACGUACAAGCAGUGGGAGCACAGGUUUACCUG
rnacentral:rRNA from 3 species